GACGAACGCUGGCGGCGUGCUUAACACAUGCAAGUCGAACGGAAAGGCCCUGCUUUUGUUGGGUGCUCGAGUGGCGAACGGGUGAGUAACACGUGAGUAACCUGCCCUUGACUUUGGGAUAACUUCAGGAAACUGGGGCUAAUACCGGAUAGGAGCUCCUGCUGCAUGGUGGGGGUUGGAAAGUUUCGGCGGUUGGGGAUGGACUCGCGGCUUAUCAGCUUGUUGGUGGGGUAGUGGCUUACCAAGGCUUUGACGGGUAGCCGGCCUGAGAGGGUGACCGGCCACAUUGGGACUGAGAUACGGCCCAGACUCCUACGGGAGGCAGCAGUGGGGAAUAUUGCACAAUGGGCGGAAGCCUGAUGCAGCAACGCCGCGUGCGGGAUGACGGCCUUCGGGUUGUAAACCGCUUUCGCCUGUGACGAAGCGUGAGUGACGGUAAUGGGUAAAGAAGCAACGGCUAACUACGUG
rnacentral:rRNA from 1 species